UACGUAGGGUGCAAGCGUUGUCCGGAAUUAUUGGGCGUAAAGAGCUCGUAGGCGGUCUGUCGCGUCUGGUGUGAAAACUCAGGGCUUAACCCUGAGCUUGCAUCGGGUACGGGCAGACUAGAGUGCGGUAGGGGAGACUGGAAUUCCUGGUGUAGCGGUGAAAUGUGCAGAUAUCAGGAGGAACACCGGUGGCGAAGGCGGGUCUCUGGGCCGUAACUGACGCUGAGGAGCGAAAGCAUGGGGAGCGAACAGG
rnacentral:rRNA from 1 species